rnacentral:rRNA from 1 species
AUUGAACGCUGGCGGCAGGCCUAACACAUGCAAGUCGAACGAGUGGCGGACGGGUGAGUAAUGUCUGGGAAACUGCCCGAUGGAGGGGGAUAACUACUGGAAACGGUAGCUAAUACCGCAUACCAUCGGAUGUGCCCAGAUGGGAUUAGCUUGUAGGUGAGGUAACGGCUCACCUAGGCGACGAUCCCUAGCUGGUCUGAGAGGAUGACCAGCCACACUGGAAAUGAGAAACGGUGCAGAAGCGUAAGGGAGGAAGAAGUGGGGAAUAUUGCACAAUGGGAGAAAGCGUGAUGAAGCCAUGCCGGGUGUAUGAAGAAGGCCUGUGGGUUGUAAAGGACUUUCAGCGGGGAGGCGUUACCCGCAGAAGAAGCACAGGCUAACUCCGUGCCAGCAGCCGCGGUAAUUC